GAUGAACGCUGGCGGCGUGCCUAAUACAUGCAAGUCGAGCGAACAGACGAGGAGCUUGCUCCUCUGACGUUAGCGGCGGACGGGUGAGUAACACGUGGAUAACCUACCUAUAAGACUGGGAUAACUUCGGGAAACCGGAGCUAAUACCGGAUAAUAUAUUGAACCGCAUGGUUCAAUAGUGAAAGACGGUUUUGCUGUCCCUUAUAGAUGGAUCCGCGCCGCAUUAGCUAGUUGGUAAGGUAACGGCUUACCAAGGCGACGAUGCGUAGCCGACCUGAGAGGACGAGCAGCCACACUAGGACUGAGACACGGCCCAGACUCCGACGGGAGGCAGCAGGGGGGAAGUUUGGACAAUGGGGGCAACCCUGAUCCAGCCAUGCCGCGUGAGGGAAGAAGGCCUUCGGGUUGUAAACCGUUUUUGGGCGGGAAGAAAUCCGCGGGGCUAAUACACCGGGGGGAGGACGGUACCGGAAGAAGAAGCACCGGCUAACUACGUG
rnacentral:rRNA from 1 species